GCUCUCUUCAGCAGCACAUAUGCUAAUACUGGGAAGACACAGAGAAGGUUCGCAUGGCCCUGAGCAAGGACGACUCACAAAUUUGUGAAGUCUUCCAUAUUUUU